ACCCACUUUUUUAUAAAAAUAUAUUUUAUUUAACACUUUCUUCAUCCUUAACUCUAUAAAUACCCAUCUUCUCUUCACUUCAUUUUCCUACACUUACUUAUACAUUUCCAUAAUAUCCAUUUUUCUUCUCUUUCUCUCUCACACACAUAUCUUCCCACAUAUUUUUUUUACACACUUACUUCACUACACACACUUACUUACACAUUUCCAUAAUAUCCAUUUUUCUUCUCUCUCUCUCUUACACCAUAUAUCUUUCCAAACAUUUCUUCUUUCUCAUAUACACAUUUUUCCUACACAUUCUUUUCCCACACCAUUUUCUUACACACAUUUUUCCUACACAUUUUUCNNACACACAUUUCUUACACCACAUAUCUUCCCACAUAUUUCUUCUUACACACACAAUUACAUAAUAUCCAUCUUUUUUCUCUCACACCUUACCAAAUUUCUACUCCAAGUUCAUCUUCUUCACCUUCCAUCUANCUCNCCUCACAACUUGUUGCAAUUAAAGUUUUUCUACAUCAUUCAAACCUUCAAUAAGGUUUGUCCAUUCUUGAGUAUUUCAGAAAAUACGUUAUCAGGGCCUUUCAUGGCCUUGGUCAUACCAAUGUCGGAUGGGUGAGUUCAUUGUUUUAUCUCCCUCAUUAUAUUAGUUAAGUACAAAACUAAUAGGUCAUUGUUUUCAUGGUUUUGCAGUUCAAUGAUUUCCUUAAUACUAUAUUUUUUUCUUCUUCAAUGGUUGCAUUGAUUGUUGUUGUGUUUUUGGACAACACUCUUGAUUACAAGGAUAAUGUCAAAGAUAGGGGAAUGCGAUGGUGGACUAAGUUCAGAACAUUUAAAGGAGACAAUUGAAAUGAAGAGUUUUACACCCUCCCUUUCACCCUCAACCGUUUUUUUUCUCCAUCCAAAGACUAAAGAGGGAAAAACAUGUAUUUUCUGAAAGCAUAAGUGGUUCUUGCGAUUUCAGUUUUUUUUAUAUUAAUAUAAGAGAAACUUUAUUUGUUCAUUCA